rnacentral:rRNA from 1 species
UACAGAGGUCUCAAGCGUUGUUCGGAAUCACUGGGCGUAAAGCGUGCGUAGGCUGUUUCGUAAGUCGUGUGUGAAAGGCGCGGGCUCAACCCGCGGACGGCACAUGAUACUGCGAGACUAGAGUAAUGGAGGGGGAACCGGAAUUCUCGGUGUAGCAGUGAAAUGCGUAGAUAUCGAGAGGAACACUCGUGGCGAAGACGGGUUCCUGGACAUUAACUGACGCUGAGGCACGAAGGCCAGGGGAGCGAAAGGG